AUUGAACGCUGGCGGCAUGCCUUACACAUGCAAGUCGAACGACCGCACGGGUGCUUGCACCUGCUGGCGAUAGGCGCACGGGGGAGUAUUACAUCGGAACAAGUCCUCUAUUGGGGGGUAGCACCGCGAAGGCCCGAUUACUACCGCAGACUAUCUUCGUAAGACAGCUGGUGCACCACGGGACUCGCGCUUUGCGGUUGGCCGAUGGCUGAUUAGCUAGUUGGUAGGGUAAAGGCCUACCAAGGCGACGAUCAGUAGCUGGUCUGAGAGGGCGACCAGCCACACUGGAACUGAGACACGGCCCAGACUCCUACGGGAGGCAGCAGUGGGGAAUUUUCGACAAUGGGCGAAAGCCUGAUGCAGCAAUGCCGCGUGUGUGAAGAAGGCCUUCGGGUUGUAAAGCACUUUUGUCCGGAAAGAACAACUUGGCACGUAUACAGUCGGGGGAUGACGGUACCGGAAGAGUAAGCACCGGCUAACUACGUG
rnacentral:rRNA from 1 species